AAAAAAGCUGAAGUUGGAGAAUUUUUCCAGUUUUGAAUUUUUGUCUAAACCUUUCAAUUCUCUUACCAGUUCCACGCAGCUGUUGAUUUAAUGGAAAAAAAACCUUCACGUUGUAAGAGCAAGUUUAACAAUCAAGUUACAAAAUAGAGUUUAAAAAAAAAUAAAUCUUCAUCAUAAUUUUGCGAUUCAUUUUUGAUUGCAAAUUUCACUGCAAACCACUAUUGUUUUACUAGUGAUACAUCGAUGUAGGCUCCCUCACCUUCCUGGCCCCCAUUACUUGGCACUAGCUGCAUCAAUGACCGUUCUGCUUUUGUUACAACAGCUACUUUUAUUUGUAACAAUGUUUGUUUCUGUGAGUUUAAUCAGAUAAUUUCUUAUUUCCUUCUACUCAGGCUGCAAACUGUGUCCACAAAGACAUUUGAAAGCUCCAGGACAUUGUGAUACGAUGCUCAAAGACUUACUUAAUUCUAUAUAGCUUAGGUACAAAUGUGAGAAUAUUCUGGAUCUUAUCUGUUUUUAACCACUUGACUCUCGGGUUUCAUCAUAAGAUUCCUGACCUAGUGAUUG